UUUAAGACAACUUUAAUGAAAUGGUGACACAAAACCGACGAUUAUCCCUGUAUAUACUAUAGAAAUGAACCCAAGGACAAUCUCCGGUUCUGUGCUAAAGUAUUGCUAACUAUGGAGCAAAACUACUUGGGCUAUUGCGUUGCGAGGGAUGUUGAUUGGAUAUAGGAAACUAUAGGAACUAUGGCACCUGGAAAAAAGUCGUGGUGGCCUGGUGGGCCAAGAAUCAACCUCUCAAGUAUGAGGGCGCGGGUUCGAUUCCAGGUCAGGCAAGUACCAACGCAACUUUUCUAAGUUUGUAUGUACUUUCUAAGUAUAUCCUGCAAUGACACCAAUGACUGUGUUUCGGAUGGCACGUUAAACUGUAGGUCCCGGCUAUCCUUGAACAUCCUUGGCAGUCGUUACGGGUAGUCAAAAGUCAGUAAGUCUCACACCAGUCUAACCAAGGGGUAUUGGAUAGGCAGUCGCUUCUUGUAAAGUACUGGUACUCGGCUGAAUCCGGUUAGAC
rnacentral:lncRNA from 1 species